AAAAACAGAGGCUGCUGUAUACCAAAACCAGGCGCUCUCUCUCUCUUCUCUCUCUCUCUCUCUCUCUCUGUACAUCGAUCCGAGCUCCCGAGAUCGAGUACGAGAUCCAAACUCUUGCGUCUCAGAAUCGGCUAAUUCUGGUCAAAGAUCGGUAAUUUGAGUUUUGUUGAGCGAGUUUUAUUUGAUAAUUACCGAGUUUGUUUGUUGGGGUCGUCUGGUCGGUGAAAUCAACGAUCUCGUUGAUCAGAGAAAUUCGUCGAUGGGUUCUUGUGGGUUUUCUGUCUUCUGAUAUGGGACGAAGAGAUUUGUUGUUUUCGUGAGAGAGUUACACAAGUAAUUGCUCGGGGAUGAGUUGGAGGGUUUUGAAAGGUUUCUGGGCUAUAUCUUUUUGAUGAUUUCUUUGGGCAGUAGGGAUGGAAGGAAGGGGUUGGGCCUAGGGUUUGGUGCUGCUGCAGAGAUGUUGGAGCCUGAGCUUGAAGAAGGCGAGGCUUGCUCUUACCAAAACGAAGAUGAUUCUACCAUUGACCCCGAUAUUGCUCUUUCUUACAUUGAUGUGAAACUUCAAGAUGUUCUGGGUCAUUUUCAAAAAGAUUUUGAGGGUGGAGUAGUUUCAGCUGAGAACUUGGGGGCAAAAUUUGGUGGUUAUGGUUCAUUUCUACCCACCUAUCAGCGCUCCCCCGUUUGGUCUCGUGCAAGGUCUCCACCAAAAGUUCCCAACUCCAACCCACCGAGAUCCCCAAAUAAAUUGCACCUGGAGGCUGACCAUCUCAGUUCUGUGGUUCCAUCAAGUGCAUCUCUGUCUGUGAGACAUCCGCAAGCUUCUGCAACUGCUGCCUUACUGCCUUUAAUAAGGGAUUCUGUUGAUGGUUCGGCAAAAAGAGUAGGGGUAUCAUCUAUUCAUUGUACUGAGGAGUCCACAUCAAGAUCUGAACCUGGUAGAAACUAUGCUCCAUCUUCUGACCAGAAGACACUGAAAUUUAGAAUCAAAGUGGGUCCUGAUAAUUUGCCGACUAGAAAAAAUGCCGAAAUCUAUAGUGGUCUUGGCCUUGAUAUCUCUCCAUCUUCAUCUUUAGACGACAGCCCCACUGACACUGAUGGGUUAUCUCAGGAGCCUCAGGAUGUUGUAGAUGAAUCCCCUACAAGUAUUCUUCAAAUUAUGACAUCAUUUCCGGUGCACAAUAACAUAUUGUUAUCCCCUCUUGUUGAUGAUUUGAUAUACUUGAUUGAAAGGGAAAAGCUUCAUGGAGAAAAUAAACGUAGAUUCUCUAAGAGGAGUGGACAAUAUAGUUCAAAUGGAUCUGAUUCUGCAAGGGGUGAUGAUAAAAGAUCAAAGUCAUUUGAUAAAAAUGCCUGUCCAUCAGAAUUAAAAAGUCUUGAUGACAAGGACAGUCAAAAUGGAACUGGUCUGCUGUUGAAGAAAGAAACAGAUAUUGACAGUUUGGUUUGUGAAGAACUUGUCGCUAAUACUCUGAAGCUCCCACUUCUAUCUAAUUCAUUUUCUGUUGUCAACUCUACAAAGGAUAAUGCUAGGACCAUUGAUAACUCCAGAGAAGCUAAUCAAACGAAGGAAGAAUACCUCUCUGGUCUAGCUAAAGGGGGGACAUUGGAGGCAAUAUCCACCCAAGAGAUUGGCUUGAUUGAGAAGCCUAUUGCAAAGGCUGCUUCAGCUGGUACAUUAUCAGAAGGCAAGAAAGCAAAGUCUCAAGGUGACAGCUUAGGUCUACGAGAAGAAGGUGGCUUGAGAGAAAAAGCUGAUGUUUCUGGUGCAGUUGACUCAAAUAUUAUUAAAGAAAGAAAAAUUCAAAAUGCUGAAUCAAUCGACCUUUUAGGGCAGAAGUUUAGUAAGAAAGCUAUGCCUCAUGAAGAGGAUGACAUCCAAUUGGCUUCUCUGAAAGGGCAUUCAUCAUCUGGGGGCAAAAACAAAUCAAAAGGAAGCAACAAUGUCCAGAGUGCUGAGGUUUUGAAAGACAGCUCAAGACUGGAUUCUUCCUUGGUGUCCAAAAAUAGGAAGAGUACGCAUGCCAAUGUUUAUUCGUCUAAAGGUGAAAUGGAUGAUUCCAAAUCACAGAAGGAUAAUGGAAAGGCAAGAAAUAGAUACAGUGAUUUUUUUGGGGACACAGAACUAGAACAGGAAGAUGAUGUGGAUUCUGUAGAGCUUCCUUCAAUUGACAGGCCAAAGGACCUUGAGGUGGUUGAGAAAAACACAUUGGCAUCUAAUGGCACAUCGAAGGAAAGGUUGAUUGGCAAGAAGCCAUCUAUGCCUGGGGCAUAUCAAAAAGCAGCUCCAAAUGCAGGUCCGAUUGGAAAUGGAUCCAUUUCUGAUGCAGCUCCUGGAACAUUGGGUCCCCUAGUCAAAGAAGAUUGGGUCUGCUGUGACAAGUGUCAGAAGUGGCGACUUCUUCCAGUAGGGACAAAUCCAGAAAGCCUUCCUGAGAAGUGGCUUUGUAGCAUGCUUGAUUGGCUGCCUGGAAGGAACCGGUGUACUGUUAGUGAGGAGGAGACAACUAAUGCUGUAAUUGCCAUGCACCAAGUUAGUGCUCCUGAGAAUCAGAAUAAUCAGCAUGGUCAUCCUGGUAGUGUCCUACCUGGACUGCCCAUGGGUGAAACCAAUUGUUUUGAUCAGAGCCGCCAAAAUCUUGGUUUCCAUCCUGUGCCUAGUGGUGGGAAGAAGAAAUAUGGAAUAAAAGAUGUGUCAGAUACAAUGAGCCACGAUGGUCUUGCACUAUCCUCUGACUCUUUGAAGAAGAACAUCCCUGCACCAACUAAAAGUAGAAGCUUAAAUGGUGUAAACCAGUCUCCAGCAAGUGAAAUUCAACCUAUGCAUUUAAGCAAAUCUAGUGUGGUUGAGAAACACAGGCAUAAAAAGAAAGAGAAAAACAAAUCACUUGAACAGCAUCCUAAUGGAGUUGUUGUACUGGGCACAGGUGAAAAUAGGUCCUCCAAGAUCAAGAGUAAAAGAGAUAAUCAAGAUUUUGUUGGAAUUUCUAAGAAAAUUAGGCUAGAUGUUAUGCAUGUUGCUGACGAAGAUUGGAAAUCUGACUGUAAUGGACCUGUGGAGGAGGUUGGCCCUGUCUCAAAUAAUAGUUUGUCCGCAAAUGCACCAGGGAAGGAUGGCUGCAAAUACGAUGACUUUUCUUAUAUGGAUGGAAAAUCUAAGGAAAAGAAGAGCUCAAAAGAUCCUCCCAGAAAAACAAAAUGCCAAGUUCAAGUUACUUCUGAUGAUGGAUCUCUGCAUAUGGAGAAAUCUGAUGGUAAAGAUGUUUCGAGAAAAAGGAAAACAAAUGAAAGUCGGGAUACUCAUGUUUCCACAGCAUCCCUCCAGAGUGGGCAUCAUAUUCAUGAUAGGAAGGAUCUUCUGGAACAUACAGCUGAAGUAAUUCACAGGAAGGAAAAGAAGGCAAAGAUCUCCAAGUCUGAAGGGAAAGAGACCAGUGUAAGUAAAAGCUCUGGUGGAGCAGUGAAAAAGGGUAGAAGUAUGAAGGAACAGCAAUUGGGGCCAGAUCGGGCAAGUACUCUGUCUCAGCGUAGCUUGGAUGAUACUGAUUCUCUGAGAAGAGGUUUAGGAUCUGCACAACCAUCUCAGGCUGCCACUUCAAGCUCUUCAAAAGUUUCUGGUUCCCAUAAGAACAGAAAGAAUGUGCAGGAAGUCAAAGGCUCACCAGUAGAGUCAGUUUCUUCAUCUCCUUUGAGGUUUUCAAAUCCUGACAAGUCUAAAUCAACAAGGAGACUAGAGGUGAAAAUGGAGUUUGGAGAUGCCGGUUUCCUUGCUGCUGGAACUCCAAGAAGAUGCUCAGAUGGUGAAGAUGACAUGGGGAGCAAUCGAUCUGGGACUGUGGGGAAGGAUGAAGCUUUUGACACCCAUUUCGAUUCUCAGGGAAGGAAUAGUGGUCAUUUUUCUGGUACUGAAGCUAAAAUACAGACUGUACAUUCUCCAGAAUUGGCAGGUCACCAUUUUGAUAAUAGUGGUAAUAAUAUCAUAGGCAGUGAUACCCAACACCCUUGCAGACCACAGACUUCAGAUCAAUUCCGUGGUGAAGAAAGAGAAAAUAACAAGCAGUAUCUUUCUAAUGCUCCAUGUCUGAGUAAGCCUGCUAAGGAAUCCUCGUUGAAGUCUAAAGAAAAGAAUGGGAGUUUAAAAUCUGAACUUGACAAGGGAAAGUUCAAGAUGUCUGAUUCUUAUAAUGUUUGUAUAGACCAUAUACCUAAAGAAGAAAAAUCAAGGGUUAGAAAAAACAGGGCUGAGCAGAAGUUUGGGGUUAACUCUGAUAAAAUUGAAAAGAAUUUUGUUGGUAAGAAAGAAUCUGCAGGUAAAGUUGUAAUUGAAGAUGGUAAAAGAGAGAUUCAACAAAAAAAUGGAGGUAAUAAUGGUCUGGAUGUUAAAGUUGAUGGUCUCUCCAGCCAGGACCAUAGGCACAGUGAUGAAAGAUCUUCAAGGAGGUAUCUCUCCGAUAAAACAGAUCAGGUGGAGGUCUCUGGUAGAACAAAGUUACACUCAUUACCUCCCUCUGGAAGAGGUCAAAGUGAGUCUGGAACACAGUCUCUCCAAUUAAAUCCUGGAGCUGAGAAACAGAAUGAAGGAAAUAGUUUGUUAACUGAACCUUCUGAUUGUGAUCAUGCAUUGAAGGCCUACCAACAGAAUAAAAAAUGUGACAGCCAGAAUAGUAGUCAGCCUAUUAGAUCAAGACAUACCACAGUUAAUGGACAGAGAGUCAGGGAUGUAGAGGCCCCAAGUCCUGCCAGAAGAGAUCCCUCCAGCCAGGCUGCCACCAAUGCUGUAAAAGAGGCAAAGGAUCUGAAACACCUUGCUGAUCGCCUCAAGAAUUCUGGAUCAAGUACUGAAAGCACAGGUAUUUAUUUUCAGGCAGCUCUUAAGUUUCUUCAUGGAGCCUGUUUAUUAGAAUCUAGCAAUGUUGAGAGUUCCAAGCAAAGCGAGAUGAUUCAGUCAAUGCAAAUGUACAGUAGCACGGCAAAACUCUGCGAGUUUUGUGCCCACGAAUAUGAGAAAUGUAAGGACAUGGCUACUGCUGCAUUGGCCUACAAAUGUAUGGAGGUGGCAUACAUGAGAGUAAUAUAUUCAUCACACAGCACUGCAAACAGAGAUCGGCAUGAGUUGCAGAAAGCCUUGCAAAUAGUUCCUCUGGGUGAAUCUCCAUCUUCCUCUGCCUCUGAUGUUGAUAACUUAAACAACAUAACAACAUCAGACAAAGUCCCCUUAGCUAAAGGAGUUAGCUCUUCCCAAGUUGCUGGGAACCAUGUUAUUGCUGCACAAAGCCGCCCCGGCUUUUCACGGCUCCUCAACUUUGCACAGGAUGUAAAUUUUGCAAUGGAAGCUUCAAGGAAAUCUCGAAUUGCAUUUGCAGCUGCAAGCGCAAGAAUGGAAGAGGCCCAGUACAGGGAUGCUAUAACUUCUGUUAAAAAGGCUCUUGAUUUCAAUUUUCAAGACAUAGAGGGAUUAUUGCGUUUGGUACGGCUAGCAAUGGAAGCUAUUAGCCGUUGAAUAUUAGUCGUAAUUGAGUGUACAUGACCCCGGGAACAGAUUUGUUUCUUUGGGCUUUCUACCCCCUCCAAUUCUUAAUCCCUAAGGGAGAAAGCAAAAGGAAAAUAAAUUCCUUUGUGAAACUUUUGCGGGGUUGAUGUUAUUGGUUGGUUUGGGAGAGAAUGGCACAGGAAUAUAAAUAUCAGUACGGGGCUGAUCCAAACUACACCUACAGCUGGAAGAUUCAACAUUUAUAUCAAGAAGAGUGAAAAUCUGUUCUAGUUUGAGGUGGAAUCUUGUUGCAAUAAUCCUCCAUCUUUCUAGUUUUUUGUUCCUUUAAUGCGGGAAUGCUUGUGGCCAGCUUAUUUGUUAUUUAAAUGUCUUAUCUGGGAGAAACUAAUGGAUGGAAAACUUGCAAAGCCCAUCUUCCGAAAAAUGACCUACUGAUAACCUCAUCCAAAGCAACAUCUUAGCAAAGGAUAUGCCAAGCCUCAGGUUUCUGUAGUUAAUCUACUUUCGCAGCUGGGACAGAGUGCUAGGGCAGAAACAGGAGCUGUUAGGGAGAGAAUUUGUAGAGUACAAAAUGGAAGUAGCAGUGUGUAUAUAGUUCCCACAGCGGACUCUUUCUGAUUUCUCUUUUUAGAGUGGCUAUGUAAAUGCACGAAUUGUUCUGGUGCUUCAUCCUAUACUGUUUUGCUGAUCUAGCAGGUAAGAAACUGUAAGUGUGGGGUGGCAACAUAUGUGGCAUGGAGCAUCAGAUGAUGAUGAUGAAUAAUCUACAUUCAUGAGUUGUUGUUUUGUUCCGUUAUUCCCAUCUUUACAGCUGUUGUAUUAAUUUCAUCUUUCUUUGUUUUUAAGCAGAUUUUCUAUUGUAAGAUAAAUAGACAAGACUUCAAUCAGUGCCUCCGUCUUGCUCUUAAUACUUGAUCCAUUAUAAUAUAUAUAUAUAUAUAUUAAUUACCUCUCGUGGGAGGUUAUUGGUAGGUAGGUGUUGUACCCACAUUGUGGGUGUUUGGACAUUAGUAUAUAUUUGACAUGACCUAUUUGAUAAACUUUUGUUCAAAUGUUUGCUUUGUUACAA